GUCUGUUUCUGAAGAUCCCUCCUUUAUGGAGUAUUUUCUGCAAACCUUUAGAUGUAGUGUUCAGAAAGUACAAAGAAUUUCUGAAGGACCAGAGCUUAACAAAAAUCUGGAUGCUUACUGCGUACAGAACAAUAUAGUGGGCAUGUUCUGAAGAUUUUGUUUUGCCAGUUGCAAGUUACUCAAAAGACGGUUUGAAGGGCAGUAACUGAUAAGCUGAAGAUCCUGCUGCACUUCUUAAGGGGGAUCAGAUCUUUGUCAUUUCCUUGGCAUGACCAUUACAGUGAAGCAAUCAGUGGAAGACCACAGGCUACUCCAAGCUGUUACAGAUUCAUAAUUAUAUAAAACCGUAUUGAUUCUCCAUGCUUUUUUUUUUCCCAACACCUGAGCUGUAUAGUCAGCAUAGUCAGCCUAGAACAUAAUUGUUUAGCACUGAGUUUAAAUUGAAAGUACUGUAGCUUGUUUUCAAUAACGUUUGCCCCAAAGAAAAAUUAAUAGCAGGAAAUAUUCACUCAAAUAUCCCAGAAUUUGAGUUCUGUGUCUGAAAAUUCGUGUUUCAGUCUUGAAAAUUUAUUUUGUGUCCCUUAGUAGAUGGGCACUUUUUUGCAAGAUACUUUUAAAAUAGAAGUUAGAGAUUUUUUUUUCCCCUUCUAGAUAUUCAGUAAGCAGGACUUCCUUCUAAAGCAUUUUAUCCUAUUCUUUCUCCAAGCAUGCCCUGUGAGCUAUCUGUGCAACCACGCUGUCAUACAAAGGGAAGAUAAGGUGAUAGUGUUCUGAAACGUUCAUAAUAAAAGCAAAAGCCCCUAAUUCCCUGAGAUUGGAGUUGGGAACUCUUUGCCUCUGUGAAAUGUUAAAAGUUCAAACCUUUGACCAGCUCAUUUUCUUGAAACUUAUUCUCUUUCUGGUAAGCCUAGGCAGGCAGAGGCCUCAAAAUCCUAUCUUAUGAGUUUGGGUUGUAUUCAAAAUAUGACCAAAUUUUGAGUAAACUCCCAGGGAAAGCCUCACAGUCAAUCUCCUUAAGACUUGGUUAGCUGGGGCCAUCUCAGGAAGAAGAAAUUAGCAUUUGUUGGGCAUUUUCCCCUAAUUUACAGCUCUCUGGCUUUAAGGUGGUUAUUGAAGGCCUACUCAGAAAUGAGUCUGCCUCUCUGUUUUCAUCGUUGUAAUUCAUGGGAUGUGGUUCACUGGCAAUGUAUGUUCUAUCGCAUCUUGAAUUAGGGAAGUUCUUAGUGGACCGCUCUUUGAAUGUUGUCUGUGGAUUCAUAUGAGUACAUCCUUCCCUGAGGAUGUACAUAAUCUUCUCCAUUCCCAUCAAGGAGAAUGUGAUUGCAGCAGAGUGCUGUGUGACAGAUGUGGGUAUUACAGACUGUCAGUGCUUUCUGAAUGACUCAGGCAUUAGUUUUCCCUCCUACCAAAUACUAACAGAAUAUUCUGUGUGUCUCUGUGUUGUAAAUUAUCAUCUUGUACCAAUUUCCAUUCAUCCCUACAACGUGUUUUAUCCAGGCACCAAUAAUUGUGUGUUACAAUGUAUACAAUUCUUCCUUCAUUUCUUUGUCUGCUCAUUUACUCCAGUCUUCCUUUCCCUGCUAUUGUUGCAACUGCGUGCUUCUAUUGGUUUUCAAAUGGAAGUCCAGAUUGCAUUUAUCAAGUAUGCCAUCCAAUCUUUCAUUUACUGCCUUUUAAUGCAUUUCUGCAUUCUGCAUUUUUUUCCUAUUAACUGCCUUGAACCUCUGUGCCUUUUUAUUGUAUGUUAAUGUAACAGUUCAAAUCACACAGCUCAUGGCUCACUUCUUCUCGUAGUCCAUUCUUUUAUUAUUACAAAUAUGUAGCAAAAUUGGAGAAGCACUCUGGCUUGCAGUACAUUUUACACUUAUAUGAACAUACAGUCUGAAGGCUUUUUAUUCCUAGAGGUUCCACUUUCUUGUAAUUCAUUUUGUGCUAAGUAAAAUGAAAGGCUAUCCAUUUUACCUCUGACUUGGAAACCAACAAACAGAAGGGAGCUGAAAAAUGAAAGCAAAUCUCCGUAGAAGUUUAAAUGGCUUUUUAAUGGAAGAGAACAGUAAAAACAAAUAGCUUUUUACAUCCAAAUGCAAGUGGAACAAGAGGAACCUAAUGUGCAUGUAUCUUUUAUACAUUUAAAGUUACUCUGUUAAAUAUAAGUCCUGCUUUCUCCCCAUCUUGUUGAGCAAGUUUGUGCCGAUAUAGCAGAGAAAUGAUUCAUGAUUAUUCUUGUGUAUAAAGGC